AAGCAUGGAAAUACCUGUUCCUGUCCCGUGCUUGUGAAGAAGAAGGGGGUGGUGGUGGUGGUGGUGUGCUUGAGUCUUCUCUCUGCUCACUUAGAAAGUGAAAGAAUCCAUUCUUGAACCUACAGAUGAAAGGGAGGUGCUGUUUCAUGUGCAGAGCUCCUGCUGGGAUUCUCAGUCUCUAAGGUUCUCACCUAAUGUACAUCUGCCCUCCCUGUGUUGUUUUUUUAUAUUUAGAACCAAUAAAGUUCUUGCACAGCUACAGUUGUUGGCCUGCACUGCUAUCAAGGGUCUCUCUCUUUCUCCCUCUCCAC
rnacentral:lncRNA from 1 species